CGCCUGUCGGUGUAACUGACAUGUCAUGGAACGUCUUGUCGGUGGUAAUUAAAGCCCUAUUUUAUGUAAAAGGAGUUUUAUACUUCUAUUAUAUAUUAAUAGGUUACUUUAAUUACCUAUUAACUCCUACCGCGGUGCUCUUUACUGAGUGUCGAGGUCGGCCGACAAGUUUACUUUGAACAAAUUAGAGUGCUUAAAGCAGGCAAAAGCUCGCCUGAAUAGUGGUGCAUGGAAUAAUAGAAUAUGACCUUGGUUCUAUUUUGUUGGUUUUCUGAAUUCAAGGUAAUGAUCAAUAUGGACAAGCGGGGGCAUUUGUAUUGCGACGUUAGAGGUGAAAUUCUUGGAUCGUCGCAAGACAAACUAGAGCGAAAGCAUUUGCCAAGUAUGUCUUAAUUGAUCAAGAACGAAAGUUAGAGGUUCGAAGGCGAUCAGAUACCGCCCUAGUUCUAACCAUAAACGAUGUCAGCUAGAAAUCCGCCGAUGUUUUUUUCAUGACUCGACGGGCAGCUUCCGGGAAACCAAAGCUUUUGGGUUCCGGGGGAAGUAUGGUUGCAAAGCUGAAACUUAAAGGAAUUGACGGAAGGGCACCACAAGGAGUGGAGCAUGCGGCUUAAUUUGACUCAACACGGGAAACCUGACCAGGCCCAGACAUUGGAAGGAUUGACAGAUUGAUAGCUCUUUCUUGAUUCAGUGGGUAGUGGUGCA
rnacentral:rRNA from 1 species